UUUUUUCUUUUUUUCCAUUUUGAUAUCAAAGGGGGAGAUGUUGUGUUGCUUCAUAGGCUUGGGCAUUGACUUAUGGUUCUUCAAUUGUCAAUUGUAUGAUUAUUUGAACCUUUGCUCUUAUUUUUCUCUUAUUUUAACCCUUUCUCUUGCUUGAACCUUACACUUAUAUGUUCGUUAACUAUCUAUCCAUAUGUGAGCACUUCACGGGCUACAAUGAGUUGCG
rnacentral:lncRNA from 1 species